rnacentral:rRNA from 1 species
CGGGACACGUGGUAUCCUGUCUGAAUAUGGGGGGACCAUCCUCCAAGGCUAAAUACUCCUGACUGACCGAUAGUGAACCAGUACCGUGAGGGAAAGGCGAAAAGAACCCCGGCGAGGGGAGUGAAAAAGAACCUGAAACCGUGUACGUACAAGCAGUGGGAGCACAGGUUUACCUGUGUGACUGCGUACCUUUUGUAUAAUGGGUCAGCGACUUAUAUUCUGUAGCAAGGUUAACCGUAUAGGGGAGCCGGAGGGAAACCGAGUCUUAAUUGGGCGUUAAGUUGCAGGGUAUAGACCCGAAACCCGGUGAUCUAGCCAUGGGCAGGUUGAAGGUUGGGUAACACUAACUGGAGGACCGAACCGACUAAUGUUGAAAAAUUAGCGGAUGACCUGUGGCUGGGGGUGAAAGGCCAAUCAAACCGGGAGAUAGCUGGUUCUCCCCGAAAGCUAUUUAGGUAGCGCCUCGUGAAUUCAUCUCCGGGGGUAGAGCACUGUUUCGGCUAGGGGGCCAUCCCGGCUUACCAACCCGAUGCAAACUGCGAAUACCGGAGAAUGUUAUCACGGGAGACACACGGCGGGUGCUAACGUCCGUCGUGAAGAGGGAAACAACCCAGACCGCCAGCUAAGGUCCCAAAGUCAUGGUUAAGUGGGAAACGAUGUGGGAAGGCCCAGACAGCCAGGAUGUUGGCUUAGAAGCAGCCAUCAUUUAAAGAAAGCGUAAUAGCUCACUGGUCGAGUCGGCCUGCGCGGAAGAUGUAACGGGGCUAAACCAUG